rnacentral:lncRNA from 1 species
GCACAUUAAAAUUGAGACUAUUAUUUAUCAAAUAAAACUUAAACAUAUAUACAAAAUAAAAGUCAUAAUGUAUAGCCAUUAAUAUAAGUUACAACUAAUUAGUUAACAUAAAGAUCAAAAUCUUCUAUGGUAGCAUGCAGUCUUCAUCUAUCUUCUUGGUCGUCUCAACAUUUUUAUCCAAAACAAGCGGGCAAAUCAUCAUUCAUUUCCAAAUUUCGUUCACUCUCCUCCACCUGAAUAAAUACCACAAAACACCAUUAAGCAAUAACACUAUAUUAUAUUAGAGAUAAUUUCAAAAUACUACUAAUCAUGAGUACAAAUUAAAGCAAGAUUAUAAAUUUAAACAACUACCACUUCUAGCAAAUAUAUUUAGAAACAUUAAACUCACUUUAUUAUAAAAAAAUCAUAUAACUUUUAGGUUGAUCAUGAACCGACACCAUUCUUCUUGGAUUUCUAUU